rnacentral:siRNA from 1 species
CACCACGAAUCGCCAUCCCUCAC